CCUCCUUUUGCAGCAGUUAUGGAGUCAGUAGAAAAAAUAAAGAAAGAAAGAAAAUCAUGCAAGGAGGGUGAGCCUUUCUAAGAUUGUAAGCCCACGCCAUCAUAGCCUAUUGCCUCAGAAUCAUUAUGGUAUUGGAAAUGAUCAUAUUAUAGCAUAAGGGAGAAGUUUAAUUACAUUAAGGUUGAUGGAUUAGCAGAAUUAAUUCCAUGAAGAACACCAUAAGAAGGGACAUGGUGAUGGUGGUGAGUUGAAGGCCCUGCCUCAGAUAAACCAAGUCCUCCUCCUAUUAUUCUCUGGCUCCCCAUGCAUGCAACAACUCUUUUAGCUUCCUUACUCCAUUCUCUUCUUCCCUGAAAUAAUAUUUAGCAUCACUCUAGUAUGAAUAAAUAUGUAAAAAGAAAAAAAGUGGUACAUAUUUAUAUAUGGUCUAAACUUAUAUAUA